UUUAAUGACCAUCGUGCCGACCCACCACCUGCUCCUCCCUCAACAAAAACAUCGCGAAUCUGGAUGUCGGUUGAAUGAGUAACAGAUCUGGAUUUCGUCCGCAUGUACGAUAGAUUUGGAUCCCGAUUAUGAGAGCAGCGGAUCUGGAAUCCAAUGGCAUACACGGCAGAUCUGGAUGCCACCGAGGUUCCUCGACCCCCAAACGAAAUAUCUCUGGAUGGCAAUUUCUAAUUUUUUCUUCUUUCUGGUUGUUGGUUUGAGAGGAGAUAGUUAAGAGAAAGAAGAAGAAGAAUAAGGAAACAGAAAAAGAUAGGAAAAGAAAACUGAGAGAGAAGAAGGGAGAGUCGCUGCCGCCGGAAGUCAUCUCCGGCAACGGUGAGCGGUGGCACAUCGAAAAACAGAGGUGGUUACCGUUUGUAAUUGGCCGGAUUGGAGGAAAGAGAAAGAAGAAAAAAGUAUGGUGCAACAGGUCCACCAUAUAAGUGUGUACAUGAGAUGUAUCUCAUGGUGAAAAAAAAUGGUUCUCGGUAAACCAUUUGAAACACUUCACCACGGUAGAAGCCGUCCUGAUUUGGGCUUACAUUUCAGGAUUGAAUGGAGAUAAUUUUAAAACCAAAAUUAUUUAUGAAGGAUAUGGUCAAGUCUAUCGUUUUUCAGUUUUUUUUUUUUGUUCUUAUUUUUGCUUUAUGAAGAGUUUUAUAAAGUGGAAGAAAGUAUACUUUAGGUUGAUUGACAUAUAAAAUUUUGAUUCAGGUAUAUA